ensembl:lncRNA
GGGUUUGAGGCCAGCUUGAGCUAGAGAGCUCCAGACUACAACAGAAGACCCUUUCUCAAAACUUAAACUUUCAUGAAAGACUAAAAUAGUAUGAAAACAAGAUCCUCGGUGUGGUGGCACACACACCUGUCUCAAAAAAAGGUGGGGGGAGGAAGAAAAGAAACAACUCAAUUACAAAAUAAGCAGACAUCUUGGACAGUUCAGUAAGGGGGUAUAAGGAUGCUAAGCACCUCACAAGGUGUUCAGUGUGGUUGCCCACUAGGGAAAUGCACAUUAAAGCCACAGUGAAGGGUUGGGAAUGUGGCUCUAUUAGUAGAAUGCUUGCAUAGUGUACAGGAAAUCCUGGGUUCCAUCCCUAGCAAAGCAUAAACCAGAAGUGGGGCACCUGUAAUCCUAGCUCUCAGGAGGUAGAGGUAGGAGGAUCAGAAGUUCAAGGUCGUCUUCAGCUACACAGUUUGAGUCUCUGCUUAAAAAAAAAAAUACAAAGGAAGGGAAAGAAAGAAAGAAAGAAAGAAAGAAAGAAAAAGGAAAAUCUUAAUAAUACCAAGUUCAGGGCUGGAGAGAUGGCUCAGAGGUUAAGAGCACUGACUGCUCUUCCAGGGGUCCUGAGUUCAAUUCACAGCAACCACAUGGUGGCUCACAACCAUCCAUUAUGAGAUCUGGUGCUCUCUUCUUCAUGCAAGUGUACAUACAGACAGAACACUGUAUACAUAAUAAAUAAAAAUAGAAAAAAAUCUUUAAAAAAAUUUCUUAGGGCAAAAAUCGGCAAAAUCACGAACCUUUGUGUAUUUAGUUUUUUUGUUUUUUUUAGACAAUGGCUCAAGUUGCCUGAACUCCUGAUGUUCCUGUCUCCACUUACUUCCCUAACUACAAGGACUGCAGGAGCUACUGGCACUUCCCAGAAACAAUGUUCAAAACAGUGUCCGGCACGGAAGUGCAUGCCUGUAAAGCUGAGCACCUGGAGGCAAGAAGACCACUGUGAUUUCUGGGCUAGUGGAAGGGCCACCCAGGCUACAGUGUGUGAGACUGUUUCAAAAACUAAGCCACUGGGAGGCAGAGGCAAGUGGUUCUCUGAGCUGGAGGCCAGCCUGGUCUACAUAGCAAAUUCCAAUCCAGCAAAGGCUAUGUAGUGAGACCGAGUCUCAAAACAAACAAAAAGAGACAACAGAAGACAAGAAGGAAGAAAGGAAACGCAUGCACACACACUCAGACACACACGCGCGCGCACGAGCGCACACACACGCACACGCGCGCGCGCGCGCACACACACACACACACACACACACACACACACACACACACACGAAGUAAGGACGAGAGGGAGGAAACACACUUUCAAAGCAAACUACGAAGGCACACAGCAAACUUUCACACCAUGAGUCCCUCGGUGUUACGGAAAAGUCAUUUCUGGAUGUCUUAAAUUGUUACAGAACACUCGUAGACACAGUGACGUGAACUCCUGACCCCUCUGUCUGUCUGUCUGUCUGUCUGUCUGUCUACCGCUCUAGCGCUGGCAUUACAGCCUGUGCCGCCUCGGGCUUCCUGGGGCCUAGUUUUGGGAGAAGGUGUCACAGGCAGGCUGUGUGGAGCUGCUGCUCGGCGCUGGGGUUCGCUGCCUUCCAACCGCGGACGCUGCUGCUGAGGCUGCUCCCAGCCUACCCAGCCGGCAGCCUCGGCCCGGCCUCCUGCGCCUCCCACGUCCCUGCGCACUCACGGUCCGCAGCCGCGGACGGCGUCGCGGGGACAGUGCUGGCCUCCCCGGGGUGUCCCCUCUAACCCAGGCGGGCUCCGCGGAGGCGGCGGGGCCGGGAGGCCGGGGCCCCCUCACCCAGCCCCGGGUGCGGGGUGCCGUCACGUGACCGGGCUGCGCUCCCUCCCGGGCCGGCGCGCUCGGGGCUGGGUUGCGGGGUGCGGGGUGCGCCGCGGCGGGCGCGGGGACCAGGCGGGUCGGAGUCCAAGAGCGCCGGCGGCGGCGGCGGCGGCGGCG